GACGAACGCUGGCGGCGUGCCUAAUACAUGCAAGUAGAACGCUGAAGAGAGGAGCUUGCUCUUCUUGGAUGAGUUGCGAACGGGUGAGUAACGCGUAGGUAACCUGCCUUGUAGCGGGGGAUAACUAUUGGAAACGAUAGCUAAUACCGCAUAACAAUGGAUGACACAUGUCAUUUAUUUGAAAGGGGCAAUUGCUCCACUACAAGAUGGACCUGCGUUGUAUUAGCUAGUAGGUGAGGUAAUGGCUCACCUAGGCGACGAUACAUAGCCGACCUGAGAGGGUGGUCGGCCACACUGGGAAGGAGACACGGCCCAGACUCCUACGGGAGGCAGCAGUAGGGAAUCUUCGGCAAUGGGGGCAACCCUGACCGAGCAACGCCGCGGGAGGGAAGAAGGUUUUCGGGUCGUAAAGCUCUGUUGUAAGUCAAGAACGGGUGUGAGAGUGGAAAGUUCACACUGUGACGGUAGCUGACCAGAAAGGGACGGCUAACUACGUG
rnacentral:rRNA from 1 species